GAGUUGUUAUCCACUUAUCAGGCUGCCCAGGGCCCCAUUCAACUUAGCCUUGAACACCUCCAGGGAUGGGGUAUCCACAGCUUCUCUGUACAACAUGUUUUAGUAUCUUUCCACUCUCCUAGUGAAAAAUUUCCUCCUGUUAUGUAAUCUAAUCCCAACCAAUUUGAGUUAAUACUACUCUUUGUGCUAUGACAAAGAAUCCUUUUCCAGUUUUCUUGCAUGCCUCCCUUUGUUACUUUGAAGUGCACCCAAAGCCCUCUCUUCUCUGGCCUUAACAACCCCAAUUCCCUUAGUCUGUCUCCACAGAAGUUCUUCAGCUUUCUAACCAUCCUUGCACCUUCCUCUGAAUCCUCUUCAACUGGUCCAUUUCCUUGUGCUGGAGGCCCACAGUAUUUCUGGCACUAAUAAUUCAAGUUUUGCUGUUUGCUCAGUCUUACAUCAAAAGUCUAUGACAGAAUUAAGAGUUAUUUCUCUACAGUAACACAGUCCAUGAUGAAAGAACUGAACCGAUUUUCUGAAGACCUGGGAUAAAUUCCUAACUCUUUCACAACUCCUGCAUCUUCUGAGGGAGGUCCAAGAGAUCAUGCUCUGUUUAUUCAGUUUCAGCCUCCUUGUGCAAGACUACUAGGAGCCAACUGUGGAAACAAAUCUCUCAGCUGCUGGAGCUAUCAAGUAAUCAAGAUAUUACUCAAGAGGCUAAAGCUCUUUUGACUUUCAACCUGGGGUCUGUGAGGUUGAUGUGAAGGGAUGCUUGCUCCACCUGUGGCUAAUUAACAAAGCCAAAGUGAAACAGAGCCCAAGAACUGUAAUAAUUAAUUUCCAUUUUGAAAUGAUGGGCUAUAACAUCUCUUCACCUCACGGACCCCCAUGCUCCCACACCCUGUAUAGAGGAAGAGAAAAAAUAAAAGAAGAGGAACAGCAGGCAAUAACUUUGUUGGGGAGCACAUCCCCUUUGUUUUAUACGGUACAAAUUACUAACAUGUUGCUGGAGGUCUAAAUCACUAGAGCAUAUGUGAAAAGUGGUAAGAGGAGACAUUUGAAAUGAAAAAAAUGUAUGCAUUCUGCCUCAAACCUUGAGAGUUGUUUGUUUCUAUGACUUCCUUACAAGCUACUCUUGGGUGGUUCCUGAGACAACCAUGUACUGAAGAUUCUCUUUGAAAUCUAGAUGUGGUUUAGACAUACCCUGCAGGCAGAAAAAUAUGUACCAUGUUGCUAUAACACACUAUGUAUAUUGCUGUAACAUGCUAUACAUGUUGCUAUAACAUUUAAGGAGUAAUGUAAUGAGAAAUAAAGGAAAAUAUUUUUAUAUUACUGUUUAUUACAUUUCAUCUAUUGUUUGUUAGCUGGCUUUAUAGAAGCUAAUACUUAUUCAGUUUUUACAAACAAUUCAAAUAUUGGGAAACAGUUGACAACAAAGUUCAAGAUCAAUGUACGAUAUGUGCUUACACAGUAGAUAGAAUAAUAUGGAUUGUAAAACUACGUAUAGAUUGCCUUUGUCCACAUGUAUACAUAGAUACCACUGUAUAUGAAAACAUGUCAGCGAGUUUUGUUCAGUGUGAUUCUGGUUUGUGGACUUACUGAAGAUAUUACAAAAUUGGAAAUGAUGACUUAGAAGACACAAAUUUCAUUCUCUCUAAAAUGGUAAAAUAAAGAAGGAAAGUUAUGUGAAUCUGUACCAAGAACAUUGAACUAUGGACUAAACAAAUUAUGAUGGGUAUCUAGGAGAAUUUCCCAAGUGUAUCUUAUCACUUUCUCACAGCUAUACUGAUUACCAUCAAUUUGUCUGAAUUAUUUACCUUUUAAAAGGAUUUUCACUGCAGCUCAUCUAGUCCCCUUCCCUUCUAUUCCCUUUACUUAGUGCUCACAUGAUGCAGCAGGAACCAUUUCAUGGAAUCUUUGAACUUGAGCUAAUGGAAUAUGACCUUGAAAAAAUGCAACUUGUUUAUUUCCAGCACUGAAAUAUCCUAGAAAUUUAUUUUGAUUGUUACUGAAUAUAGCACAAAGUGUCUGCAUUUUGGUUUUGCUCCUCAUUGUGCAUCAUGAUAUCCACGAGAACCUGUGGCUGAUGUGAAUUACAUACACAUUUACAUACUAUAAAUGGAGAAUGGCUUUCAGUGUGCGCUGUUUAAUAAAAAGGAAUAUAUGUGAACAUAUACCAUAGAGAAGCAGAUAAAUACAAACCAAAAUAUUGUUCUCUAUUUCUUCUUUAGAUAAUAACUCUCAGUAAAAAUAUUGAAGGAUCAUUUAACUCUGUCUCUACAACAUCUAGCUUGACCUUGAUAACAAUGCAGUUUUCUAGAAUAAAGCAAGUGUAGCACGUAUUCAGGACUGCUGAGCUUUGAGCAAUGUAUUGUAGGAAUUUGGCACUCUCAUUUAGCUCUGUUCUCAGAUUUGCCAAAUUAAGAAAGAUAGUUUCUUUUCUUACAGUGUGUACAUUUGGAAUGUCUUUGGAAAACUAUAUAGAGAAAAGCUGUAUCUUUGUAUGGGUAGUACUUAAA
ensembl:lncRNA